ACGGUCGUGCCAUGCUGAAUAUCCGGUUCUCGUUAGAUCACCGAAGUCAAGCAUCAUUGGGCGCGGUCAGUACUUGGGUGGGUGACCACCUGGGAACAUCGCGUGCCGUU
rnacentral:rRNA from 1 species